AGGGAGAUAGAGACAGGAGGGUUUGUUGUCCAGCCAUUUGAGAUGUUGAUAUACUCCAAGUUCAACAAGUAACCUUGUCAAUAAAUAAGAGAGUAUGCAAGAAAGACACUUGAUCAACCUCUAUCCUUCAUGUGCACAUUUUCAGAAUAGAUGAUGAGCAGACAUAAAGAGGAAGUCCUCCAUCAGCAACUCUCUCUGGACAGCCAAACAUAAUGGGAAAUCAUAGGAAGAGACAGAGUUCUACCCUUCUAUACAACGCAACAACCUGUGACCACGCAAUAACCCUCAGCACACAAGAAAGUUUCACAAUACUUUGUUGUUAGUCACAUCAACCUCUAGACUUCCAGGUACAAGAAGAAUCUAUUAUUGAUAACUCAUGCAGUCUUGGAAAUUAUGUUACAAUACCACAAAGUAAACAAGCAAUUAGCCACCAUGAGCUAGAAGAGGUUAUCAACUUAAAAGAGAAUUUGGAAGAAGAUGGAUAAUCAUUAAUUCCUUUUGUGAGAAAGAAUUCCUUUUUUGAAGAAAUAGAGCUGUAAAGGAAGCAAUGACUAAUUAAAAUUUCCAAAUAUUCUCUUCAUUAGAUACAGUAUGGAUUAUAAAUAUAAUGGCAUGAAAUAUGAUGUCCAUAUAGUAUACCCCAACAAACCUUUCUCAUGUUAUAUUACAUUCUGCCAAAUUCUGCAGAGCUUCCUUUUUCCAUCCUCUUUUACCCUGGAAUAAAUUCUGUCCCUGAUUUUAUACUACUGAAAAUUCUUUGUCCACCA